rnacentral:rRNA from 2 species
GCGAACUGGUGAGUAACACGUGGGAAACCUGCCCCAAGCGGGGGAUAACACCUGGAAACAGAUGCUAAUACCGCAUAACAACUUGGACCGCAUGGUCCGAGUUUGAAAGAUGGCUUCGGCUAUCACUUUUGGAUGGUCCCGCGGCGUAUUAGCUAGAUGGUGGGGUAACGGCUCACCAUGGCAAUGAUACGUAGCCGACCUGAGAGGGUAAUCGGCCACAUUGGGACUGAGACACGGCCCAAACUCCUACGGGAGGCAGCAGUAGGGAAUCUUCCACAAUGGACGAAAGUCUGAUGGAGCAACGCCGCGUGAGUGAAGAAGGGUUUCGGCUCGUAAAACUCUGUUGUUAAAGAAGAACAUAUCUGAGAGUAACUGUUCAGGUAUUGACGGUAUUUAACCAGAAAGCCACGGCUAACUACGUGCCAGCAGCCGCGGUAAUACGUAGGUGGCAAGCGUUGUCCGGAUUUAUUGGGCGUAAAGCGAGCGCAGGCGGUUUUUUAAGUCUGAUGUGAAAGCCUUCGGCUCAACCGAAGAAGUGCAUCGGAAACUGGGAAACUUGAGUGCAGAAGAGGACAGUGGAACUCCAUGUGUAGCGGUGAAAUGCGUAGAUAUAUGGAAGAACACCAGUGGCGAAGGCGGCUGUCUGGUCUGUAACUGACGCUGAGGCUCGAAAGUAUGGGUAGCAAACAGGAUUAGAUACCCUGGUAGUCCAUACCGUAAACGAUGAAUGCUAAGUGUUGGAGGGUUUCCGCCCUUCAGUGCUGCAGCUAACGCAUUAAGCAUUCCGCCUGGGGAGUACGGCCGCAAGGCUGAAACUCAAAGGAAUUGACGGGGGCCCGCACAAGCGGUGGAGCAUGUGGUUUAAUUCGAAGCUACGCGAAGAACCUUACCAGGUCUUGACAUACUAUGCAAAUCUAAGAGAUUAGACGUUCCCUUCGGGGACAUGGAUACAGGUGGUGCAUGGUUGUCGUCAGCUCGUGUCGUGAGAUGUUGGGUUAAGUCCCGCAACGAGCGCAACCCUUAUUAUCAGUUGCCAGCAUUAAGUUGGGCACUCUGGUGAGACUGCCGGUGACAAACCGGAGGAAGGUGGGGAUGACGUCAAAUCAUCAUGCCCCUUAUGACCUGGGCUACACACGUGCUACAAUGGAUGGUACAACGAGUUGCGAACUCGCGAGAGUAAGCUAAUCUCUUAAAGCCAUUCUCAGUUCGGAUUGUAGGCUGCAACUCGCCUACAUGAAGUCGGAAUCGCUAGUAAUCGCGGAUCAGCAUGCCGCGGUGAAUACGUUCCCGGGCCUUGUACACACCGCCCGUC